AAAGACGCGGGUGAGUGUGUGAUCUGCCUGGAGGAGCUGCUGCAGGGGGACACGAUAGCCAGGCUGCCCUGCCUGUGCAUCUAUCACAAAAGGUAGGAGGGGUUGGCAAGGUAGCUCAGUGCACACGACCUCCCAGAGGGGCGGACCCCCAUCUCCAGCCAUUCUCUCUCCUUUGGUUAUGGGAUGACCUCUCCCCCGACCUCUGGCUCCAAGUGGGUAAGGGCAGAGGCCGUCAGACAGGUGUCCACUGUGCUGGCGGGAAGGUGCGAGCAUCCCAAGCGCAGGGCAGAGUUGAGUUGCCAGAGGUGUGCUCUGGUUUGAGGGCUCAGGUGGUAGGAGCUGAUGGGGAGACCCGUAGAGCCUCACAGGUUGGAGGAGCUUAGAAUCCCACCGGGAAGGUUGGUUCUCCGUCUGUCUCCCUGCCUCUUCUUCCUCUACGGGCCCCUCUGCUGCACAGGGGGAGAACAUCAAUCUGUGCGAGGAAGGCCAGGCGGAGCGUGUACCCACUGCUUUGCACUGGCCUUCUCCCUAGAGGGCCAGGAGGCGGGAAGAGCCAUUUCCUGUGGGGCCACAGCACUGGGCGCAGUUAAAAGUAGCAGGGCCCAGAUAUGCCUUCGGACUCCAGUGUGAGCCUCGUCCUUGUUUCCAGCUGGAAGGAAGGCACCCUCUUGCCCAAGACAGGACACUGUGCUGCCUGUGGCAAGCACCUGCUGAAUCCUCGAGCCCAGAGCUUCUUCCUGACACUCAGGCCUUUCAAACCCUGACUCUCAGGGCCACUGCUGCAUAGGGUGACAACCGGGCAUGGCACGCAGUGUGGCUGGUGCAGAGGAGGCUCAAGGCUGGCCUGGGAGAGAUUCUUGGUCUAGCUCCCAGCACGGAGCCUUGCUUGUGUCCCAGGGAGGCACUAACCAGAACCAGAAAAGGAAAUCUUUGGCUCUCGGGGAGAAUUAUGCAAAUUAUCUGUCUGGUUCCUGUCUUUGAAAAUGCCCAGAUGUUGGUUUACAAAUCAGGAAGCUGUCUUGGGGCAAUCUCUGUUCUCUCUUUGAUGCAGAGAGCCUUUCUCUGUAAACACUGGAGAGCAGGGCUUCACUGUCUGGCUCCCCUCCCGCCUCUUGCAGGAAGGACUAGAUGCUGCUGAUCAGCUGAUCAUGGCUGAGCAGGGUAGAGCUUGGGGGCUCUCCUAAGAGGUCACCCACUGGGAGGGAGCCUCACAGCUGUUCUUUUGACCCAGAAAGGAGCUCUUUCAGGACCGUGGCACCCAGAGCCGUGGCCCUCCUGCCAUGCCAUUGUUCCCACUUCCCUGCCCUUGGAGUCUUGGUGACAGCUGACUAGCUGCCCUGAGGGGUCCACCACUCUCACCUUCUCAAUGGUGGCUGCUGCCAUCCUCCUGGGCUCUGUGCACAGAAAGCUUUGGUCCUUCUGAAGGCCACUCUGCCCCUUCCUGCAGCACCAGAUCCCCCUGAGCCGGUACCCACCACUGCUGCCUCCAGCUGGGCCAGACUAGUCUUGGUGUUCGCCCUUCUUCCUGCUUCGGAUAGUAGUGAUAUUUGGGAACAUGACUGUGUUUCCCUGGGGUCCUUUCAGAAGAGACUUAGGAAGCUCCUGCUCAGGAAUCUGGCCCUUUGAAAGAGCCCCUUCAAAGCAGCCUGGGCAGCAGGUAACGUGGUUUCCCUUGCGGCCCCCUCCCCCCAGCUGCAUAGACUCGUGGUUUGAAGUGAACAGAUCUUGUCCGGAACACCCUGCGGACUGACCUGCGGGCUUGCUUGCUGACUCCUCUCAAAGGGACAGAGAGCCCCUGCUCCAGGGAGGAGGCUCACCGGACCCUGGGGCAGAGCUGAGCUUGGGACACCAGCGGGAACAGGGCACCCCUUCUGCACUGACUUCCAGAUCAUGGUUCUCCCUUCCUCCCUGAGGACACCAAAUUGGAUGAGAGCAAGUUUGAGAGAAGAAUGAAUCAACUGCUAUCCUUCCCCUCACCCCUCAGCCCAGGAGGGAAAGGGCAUUUUCUUUUUCAUCUUUGAAAGGCAUUGUGGGUCUGUCUUUAAAGUGUUUAC
rnacentral:sRNA from 1 species